rnacentral:rRNA from 1 species
GAUGAACGCUGGCGGCGUGCCUAACACAUGCAAGUCGAGCGAACGGACGAGAAGCUUGCUUCCCUGAUGUUAGCGGCGGACGGGUGAGUAACACGUGGAUAACCUACCUAUAAGACUGGGAUAACUUCGGGAAACCGGAGCUAAUACCGGAUAAUAUUUCGAACCGCAUGGUUCAAGAGUGAAAGACGGUCUUGCUGUCACUAAUAGAUGGAUCCGCGCUGCAUUCGCUAGUUGGUAAGGUAACGGCUUACCAAGGCAACGAUGCAUAGCCGACCUGAGAGGGUGAUCGGCCAGACUGGAACUGAGGCACGGUCGAGACUCCUGCGGUAGGCAGCAGUAGGGAAUCUUCCGCGAUGGACGAAAGCCUGACGGAGCAACACCGCGUGAGUGAUGAAGGUCUUCGGAUCGUUAAACUCUGUAAUUAGGAGGGAAGUAAUGUGUAUGUAACUGUGAACAUAAUGACAGUACCUAAUCAAAAAGCCACGGCUAACUACGUG